rnacentral:rRNA from 1 species
AGGACGAACGCUGGCGGCGUGCUUAACACAUGCAAGUGGAGCGACGAACCAGGCUUCGGCCUGGGGCAGAGCCGCGAACGGGUGAGUAACACGUGGGUAACCUGCCUCGAUGACCGGGACAACCCGAGGAAACCCGGGCUAAUACCGGAUGUGCUCCUUCACAUCAGUGAAGACAGGAAAGGAGCUUCGGCCUCCGCAUCGAGAUGGGCCCGCGGCCCAUUAGCUUGUUGGUGAGGUAACGGCUCACCAAGGCUGCGAUGGGUAGC